rnacentral:rRNA from 1 species
GGGCGAAAGCCUGAUGCAGCGACGCCGCGUGGGGGAUGACGGUCUUCGGAUUGUAAACCCCUUUCAGUAGGGACGAAGCGCAAGUGACGGUACCUGCAGAAGAAGCACCGGCUAACUACGUGCCAGCAGCCGCGGUAAUACGUAGGGUGCGAGCGUUGUCCGGAAUUACUGGGCGUAAAGAGCUCGUAGGCGGUUUGUCACGUCGUCUGUGAAAUCCCUCGGCUUAACCGGGGGCGUGCAGGCGAUACGGGCAGACUUGAGUACUACAGGGGAGACUGGAAUUCCUGGUGUAGCGGUGAAAUGCGCAGAUAUCAGGAGGAACACCGGUGGCGAAGGCGGGUCUCUGGGUAGUAACUGACGCUGAGGAGCGAAAGCAUGGGUAGCGAACAGGAUUAGAUACCCUGGUAGUCCAUGCCGUAAACGGUGGGCGCUAGGUGUGGGGUCCUUCCACGGACUCCGUGCCGUAGCUAACGCAUUAAGCGCCCCGCCUGGGGAGUACGGCCGCAAGGCUAAAACUCAAAGGAAUUGACGGGG